GUUAUUUUGGCAGAAAAGUGCAAUAGAUUUAGAAUCUAUUAAUGUAAAAAUAUUUACAAAUAAUA
rnacentral:tRNA from 1 species